UGCUUUGGUUAUAUAUAUGAGUGUAAAUCAAUUUAAUCUUAUUAACCAAUUGAACCGAUUAACUAUUCGUAGUUAUUCAUUCUAAUUCUAUUGUGUGAACUGAAUUGUCAUUUACGCAUUUCUGUAAAAGGAAAAAGCGAAGUGAUUCUAUUUACGAAACAUUAUAAAUUUCUAUGAACAACUCUUAGCAACGGAUAUCUUGGUUCUCGUAACGAUGAAGAACGCAGCGAAAUGCGAUACGUAAUGCGAAUUGCAGAAUUCAGUGAAUCAUCAAAUCUUUGAACGCAAAUUGCGCUUCUUGGAUAGGCCAGGAAGCAUGCCUCUUUGAGUAUCGUUUUCACCCCAGCUCGACGGCUCUUUUGUAAUAAGAAGGGCGCAGUCGGAGAAUGAGUUUUGUCUUGUCUGAAAUAGAUAAGUCACUUUAAAUGCUGUGAGUGUUUUUAAUCGCUAAAAAAAUACUAUUAGUGUUGGUUAGUUAAUCUAAUCAUCUGAGUAGUAAUAUGGAUAAUCUCUAUUUAUAUUACAACGCUUAGGUAAUUGGACGACUGAUGUCAUCUGCACUAAUGGUUUUGAUUAAUAUCAUCACUCAGUGGAAAUUAAUCUAAUACGUUAAGUAUUAUACUUUUUUGAAUUAGAUCUCAAAUGAAGCAAGACUACCCGCUGAACUUAAGCAUAUCAAUAAGCGGAGGA
rnacentral:rRNA from 1 species